rnacentral:rRNA from 1 species
AUUGAACGCUGGCGGCAGGCCUAACACAUGCAAGUCGAGCGAGCGGCGGACGGGUGAGUAAUGUCUGGGAAACUGCCUGAUGGAGGGGGAUAACUACUGGAAACGGUAGCUAAUACCGCAUACCAUCAGAUGUGCCCAGAUGGGCUUAGCUGGUAGGUGGGGUAACGGCUCACCUAGGCGACGAUCCCUAGCUGGUCUGAGAGGAUGACCAGCCAGACAGGAACUGAGACACGGCACAGACUCCUACGGGAGGCAGCAGUGGGGACGAUUGCGCAACGGGGGCAAGCCUGAUACAGCCAUGCCGCGUGUGGGAAGAAGGCCUUCGGGUUGUAAAGCACUUCCAGCGGGGAGGCGUUACCCGCAGAAGAAGCACCGGCUAACUCCGUGCCAGCAGCCGCGGUAAUAC